AAAAGCAAUACUUUGCUUUCAAACCACACUUUCAAUAAGUAUAUACAGUCAGUUCUUCCUAAAAGUAAAUUGAACCAAGCACACCUAGGCUAACAGCAAGCUGAUCUAUUGUGCCAGGACCCUGCUGAGUGUUUUAUAUUACCUUACUUAUAUUAACUUCACAGUACAGGCAGCCCCUAAGGUACAAACAUCUAACUAAUGUGCAAUUCAAACUUCGCAACAGAGGCUACUACAGGCAAUAGGUAGAUGUAUCUGUUCCAACUUACAUAUAAAUUCAAUUUAAGAACAAACCUAUGGAACCAAUCUCGUUCAUACCCCAGUGACUGCCUGUAACCCUCUGUAGCCAGUUGAGAAAACAGGCUUGACCAAGGGAUGCAUGGCUAAAAAUGGGGCAGAGGGAGCCUCAGCACAAAGCCCACUCUUAUAGCACUCCACAGUGAUGGGAAGAGCGCAGAGGAUGGCGCUGGAUGUCCACUGAAGUGAAUUCUCAUCAGGAUCGUCUCUUCUACUUCCUUCAGCAUUGUUUUUCAUAUGAACUAAAGCUCUGGCUUAAACGGGGAGAGCAGUGCUGAGGCCGGCCCCGCCUGUCAUCCGCAGAAGGCCGUGGCAGCUGGCCAGCCAACACACCCUCUACCUGUCCUCUGACCCCGUUCACAUCCUCCCAGGCCUCAGAAAAGCCAGCAUGCUGCUGUCCACUGAUGGAUAACACAACAGCCUCUAAUGUCUGUGUCCUGGCAAGGGAAGCCCAGUCAGCAGUUUUGGGGUCUGUAUAGCAAAGAGAAGCUCUCAUGUCACAGAGGGAAGCAGGGGAGGAGAUUCAGGUGGACUUCGAAGAAAAAAGCAGAGAGGAGCAAAA